rnacentral:rRNA from 1 species
AUGCAAGUCGAGCGAGGAAAGUUGUAGCAAUACGGCUUAUUCGAGCGGCGUAAGGGGCAGUAAUACCUGGGAACGUACCCUGAGGUCGGGGAUAGCUGCUAGAAAUGGCGAGUAAUACCCGAUGAUCUCGAGAGAGCAAAGGCUUGCCGCCUUCGGAGCGGCCCAGGCGAUAUUAGCUAGUUGGUGAGGUAAUGGCUUACCAAGGCUUAGAUGUCUAGCGGGUGUGAGAGCACGACCCGCGCCACUGGCACUGAGACACUGGCCAGACACCUACGGGUGGCUGCAGUCGAGAAUCUUCGGCAAUGAGCGCAAGCUUGACCGAGCGACGCCGCGUGCGGGAUGAAGGCCUUCGGGUUGUAAACCGCUUUGGUCCGAGAGAAAGGGAAACUUGAUCGAUCGGAGAAACAAGGACGGGCUAAGUUCGUGCCAGCAGCCGCGGUAAGACGAACCGUCCAAACGUUAUUCGGAAUCACUGGGCUUAAAGGGCGCGUAGGCGGCCGAGCGGGUCGCGGGUGAAAUCCCCCAGCUUAACUGGGGAACUGCCCUCGAUACCACUGCGGCUCGAGGAAGGAAGGGGCAAUCGGAACUGUCAGUGGAGCGGUGAAAUGCGUUGAUAUCGACAGGAACGCCGGUGGCGAAAGCGGAUUGCUGGUCCUUUUUCUGACGCUGAGGCGCGAUAGCCAGGGGAGCAAACGGGAUUAUAUACCCCGGUAGUCCUGGCCUUAUACGAUGAGAACUAGGUA